UUUAUUGUGUUAAUUCAGGGUCAUUCAGAAAGGGAAUCUGGUAGCAGGUGCUACUUUGUUUGUGUACCCUUCGUUUCUGUGUCCUUGGUGUGCCACUAUAUGGUAGACCUUCAGGAAUAUCCUAAUGAGCUAUUGGCAAUAGACCCAAGACCAGCAUUACUGAGGAGGAAGAAUCAAAGGAAUAUCUGGCUUGUCUGUCUGCAAUCUUGCCUGCGGUGGAGAAUUAACUACACCCAGGAGGCUCUAUCUGCAUUCUGUGCUGCAGUGGAUCUCUACCUCAGCAGACGUUACUGGGCCUCAAAAUUGAAAAGCACAGGUGAGGAAGUGAGUUCAAAAGCAUCGUCCUUGCAAUCCUAG